rnacentral:rRNA from 1 species
GACGAACGCUGGCGGCGUGCUUAACACAUGCAAGUCGAACGGAAAGGCCCUGCUUUUGUGGGGUGCUCGAGUGGCGAACGGGUGAGUAACACGUGAGUAACCUGCCCUUGACUUUGGGAUAACUUCAGGAAACUGGGGCUAAUACCGGAUAGGAGCUCCUGCUGCAUGGUGGGGGUUGGAAAGUUUCGGCGGUUGGGGAUGGACUCGCGGCUUAUCAGCUUGUUGGUGGGGUAGUGGCUUACCAAGGCUUUGACGGGUAGCCGGCCUGAGAGGGUGACCGGCCACAUUGGGCCUGAGGUACGGCCCAGACUCCUACGGGCGGCAGCAGUGGGGAAUAUUGCACAAUGGGCGGAAGCCUGAUGCAGCAACGCCGCGUGCGGGAUGACGGCCUUCGGGUUGUAAACCGCUUUCGCCUGUGACGAAGCGUGAGUGACGGUAAUGGGUAAAGAAGCACCGGCUAACUACGUG